GUACUCUCUGAAGCAAGCCACUGAAUGGAAGUUCAGUGGCCUCUCAUGGUUUUGAGGAGACAUUUGAACAUUCUGUUUCUGGGUGGAGGUGGAGUUGCUCCACACAACUGCUGUCUGAGGUUUCUUCUUGUGACUCUCCUCCUCUCCCAAAGCAGAAUGUCUUUCAGCUGGCCUCCGAUGUAGGGAACUUGAUCCGCAAGGGCCUAGGCUGAGGGUUUGAGUCUCUGGCUCCUGAAAGCUUACCUCCUCAUGAGUACGACACCUGUUAUCCUGCAGGAAUAUCAUCUUUCCCUUCCCUGCAGCAAACCUCUACAUCAGUGAAUCUGCACUUCAGAUUGGUACUGUGGUAAUAAGCAAGAGUGGAUAAAGAGCAGGGAGAGGGGCAUUGUGAAGGCAAGUAGCUUGGACUUGUACUGGAGGAGAGCUUCAAAGAGAGAAGUGACAUGAUCAGAGAAGCA